rnacentral:rRNA from 1 species
AGCGAACGCUGGCGGCAGGCAUAACACAUGCAAGUCGAACGGAUCCUUCGGGUCUCGUGGCGGACGGGUGAGUAACACGUGGCAACGUGCCCUUUGGUUCGGAAAAACUCAGGGAAACUUGAGCUAAUACCGGAUGUGCCCUUCGGGGGAAAGAUUUAUCGCCAUUGGAGCGGCCCGCGUCUGAUUAGCUAGUUGGUGAGGGAAAGGCGCACCUAGGCGACGAUCAGUAGCUGGUCUGAGAGGAUGAUCAGCCACAUUGGAACUGGGACAGGGCCCAAACUCCUACGGGAGGCAGCAGUGGGGAAUCUUGCGCAAUGGGCGAAAGCCUGACGCAGCCAUGCCGCGUGAAUGAUGAAGGUCUUAGGAUUGUAAAAUUCUUUCACCGGGGACGAUAAUGACGGUACCCGGAGAAGAAGCCCCGGCUAACUUCGUGCCAGCCGCCGCGGUAAUAC